rnacentral:lncRNA from 1 species
UGCUAUACUACACUUGAUGCCUCAACCUCUGAAGGGAAACUUAAGAAUGUAAUGGAUAAAUUCAAAGGGCUUUAUGAAGAAUAUGUGAGUUAUUCUACCAAUCAAAGUGUUUCUCUUUCUCAACCAUCUAAUGAGUUCAACACAUUGGCUAAGCUAUCUAGAGAGGGGAAUAAAGCUAAAAAAUCAAAGAUUAUAACCGUAAGUUUUUAUAUUAAC